UUUUUUAAUGAAUGGUAAAAGACAUUUAUAACCUUUUGAUUAAUUUUGACAAAAAAAAAACAUGUAGUUAACUAAUAUAAACUUAAAACAUCACUCUAGUCCCUAAAUCAUCAACUCUAAACCCUAAACCACGAAACAUCAACUCAAAACUCUAAAUCCCGAAACAUCAACUCAAAACCCUAAACCCUAAACCUUCAAAUCUAAACCCUAAAACAUCAACUCUAAACCCUAAACAUAAACCCUAAACCCUAUAUUUUUAUAAACUUCGAACCCUAAACCCUAAAACUCUAAACUCUAAACCAUCAAAUCUAAACCCUAAAACAUCAACUCUAGGGUUUUAGGGUUUAGGGUUUAGAGUUUAGGGUUUAGAGUUUAGGGUUUAGAGUCGAAGGUUUAGGGUUUAGGGUUUAGAGUUGAUGUUUUAGGGUUUAGGGUUAUUUUUUUAGGGUUUAGGGUUUAGAGUUUACUUUUUAGGGUUUAGGGUUUAGUGUUUAUAGCUUAGGGUUUAGUGUUGAUGGUUUAGGGUUUAGUGUUAAUGGUUUAGGGUUUAGGGUUUAGGGUUUAGAGUUUACUUUUUAGGGUUUAGGGUUUAGAGUUGAGGUUUUAGGGUUUAGAGUUCAUAUUUCAAAAAACAUAUAGAAUUUAAGAUUGAUGGUUUAGAGUUUACGAUUUAGAGUUGAGUUUUAGGGUUUAAGGUUCGAAUUUCGAAAUAGUAUACUUCGAAAAAAGUAGAAAAAUUAUUUUUAUUUUUUAGAUUUUUCAUUUAUUUAAAUAUUUAUUUAUUAAAUAUAUAAAAAACAAGAGUAUAAGAGUCUUUUAGCAUUUAUUGAAAAAUGUAUUUUUGAAAAUGUUUCUUUGUUGGUGGUAAACAUGAAUAAUGGUACAGCAAAGUGUUAUAAGUGAAAUUGUCCCAUGAUUAUGUUACAAUAAUCCUAACAUCAUGUAUUAACUUUUAAAAGUAAUAUUAUAUUAUUUAUAAAGAAUAUUUUAAUGACUUAGUUUUUUAAAAGGAAUAUUAUAUUGGGCAAAUCUCCAAAAUAGCACAUUUCUAAGUUUAUGUCACAAAAAUAGCCUUCAAAGACUAAAAUAACCAAAAUAGCAUUUUAUCUUUUGAUAAAUUUAAUUUUUUUUUAUUUUUCAAAAUUUGAAAUCUUAUGCCAAAACUCCACUCCUCAACUCUAAACCCUAAAACCUAAACCCUAAACCCUAAACUCUAAACCUUAAACCCAAACCCUAAACCCUAAAUCCUACACCCCACCCCUUAACUCUAAACCCUAAACCCUAAACUCCACCCCUUAACUCUAAACCCUAAACCCUAAAUCCUAAAUCCCACCCCUUGACUCUAAACCCUAA
rnacentral:lncRNA from 1 species